ACGGGGCAACCGCAGCCACCUGCGGGUCAGCCAGCGGAAAGGUUUCCCGGUUGUUGCAGUCUCCAAACUCGCCGUGCCUCGUUCCCGGCAGCCCUGCCCGGGCCAGCCCGGCUCAGCACAGCAGCGGAGAGGACGAGCCCGGCCAGGACACAGCAGAGCCCCGGGAGAGGUGACACGGGAGGGAAUGUCGGAUCCACAGGAGAUGCCGCCGCUCCCACCUGCCCCGGGAGAUCUGGGGGGCCCCUCCUGCCGCCUGCUCUUGGAACGGCUCCGGGAGAGACCUCCACGCAGAGAGGGGCACGUGCUGUGACCUGAAUCCCUGAGGGAAGAGGCUGUGCUCCCUGCUGCUCCCAGCUCCUGAACAGGGACAGCCCUGCCUGCGCCUGCCGGGAGUCCAGAGCGCAGCAAUCGCAGCUCCAGCCACCAGAUCUCCCUGCCAGCAGUCCCUCCUUCCUGCUGCAGCUGCAGGUGAUGCCCCAGUCAGCUUCUUCAGGCUCCAGCUGUGGCUGUGCAGUGCUCCAGGUGCUUCCAGGCUGCUCCAGUUCAUUCCAGCUAUGGCUCUGAGAUGCUCCAGUUUGUUCCAGCUAUGGCUCUGAGAUCCUCCAGUUUGUUCCAGCUCUGCCUCCGAGACGCUCCAGUUGAUGGCUGCUCCAGUUGGUUCCAGCUCUGGCUCCGAGAUGCUCCAGUUGAUUCCAGCUCUGGCUCCGAGAUGCUCCAGUUGGUUCCAGCUCUGGCUCCGAGAUGCUCCAGCUGGUUCCAGUUCUGGCUCUGAGAUGUUCCAGUUGAUUCCAGCUCUGGCUUAUUAAAUGUUGCUUCUUGUUGCAAGCCAGUUAAAGCUCCAGGUGCUUGGAGCGAUUUGGGCUUCUGGCCAAGUUGUAAAUCACUCACUGUCAUCGAGUGUAUAUGAAUAUGAGCUGUCAUAAUUGUCUCAAUAUUGUAGCUAUUCCGGUGUUUGUACAAAUAAAGAGUUGGACUGGAAAAA